GCCAGUAGUCAUAUGCUUGUUUUAAAGAUUAAGCCAUACAUGUUUUAGUAUAAGCUUUAAUACGGCAAAACUGCAAAGGGUUCAUUAAAACAGUUAUGGUUUUAUUGAUAAUACAUUUACAUGUGUAACCCCGGUAAUUUUACAGCUAAUACAUAAGCAAAAUCUCAUCUUUAUUAGACGAGACGCAUUUAUUAGAUAAAAAUUCAAUGCAUGCUUUUACAGAAUGAAUGUUGUUCAUUUAUAAUGACUUGACAAAUCGCAAAUUGAUAACCCGCGAUAUAUCAUUCAAGUUUCUGACCUAUCAGCUUUCGACGGUAUGGUAUUGGCUUACCGUGGCAGUGACGGUUAACGGGGGAUUAGGGUUCGAUUCCGGAGAGGGAGCCUGAGAAACGGCUACCACAUCUAAGGAAGGCAGCAGGCGCGCAAAUUACCCAAUUCUAACAGUUUGAGAGAGGUAGUAACAAGAAAUAACAAUACAAGGCAAUUAAAAUGCUUUGUAAUUGGAAUGAUAGAAAUUUAAACCCUUUUUAAAGUAUCAAUUGGAGGGCAAGUCUGGUGCCAGCAGCCGCGGUAAUUCCAGCUCCAAUAGCGUAUAUUAAAAUUGUUGCAGUUAAAAAGCUCGUAGUUGAAGUUCUGCUAAAAGUAACCGGUCUGCUUUUAAUAAAAGUGGUAUCUUGGUGUGUAUUUAGCAAUGAUGUCCUUUGAAGUGUUUUUUACUUUAUUGUAAUAAAGCAUAUUCAGGACUUUUACUUUGAGAAAAUUAGAGUGUUUCUAGCAGGCCGACGCUUUGAAUACUGCAGCAUGGAAUAAUAAGAUAGGAUUUUAGUUCUACAUUAUUGGUUUUAAGAGCUAAAUUAAUGAUUGAUAGGGACAGUUGGGGGCAUUUGUAUUUAACUGUC
rnacentral:rRNA from 1 species